rnacentral:rRNA from 1 species
AACGAACGCUGGCGGCAUGCCUAACACAUGCAAGUCGAACGAGACCUUCGGGUCUAGUGGCGCACGGGCGCGUAACGCGUGGGAACCUGCCCUUAGGUUCGGAAUAACUCCCCGAAAGGGGUGCUAAUACCGGAUAAUGUCUUCGGACCAAAGAUUUAUCGCCUUUGGAUGUGCCCGCGUUGGAUUAGCUAGUUGGUAGGGUAAAAGCCUACCAAGGCGACGAUCCAUAGCUGGUUUGAGAGGAUGAUCAGCCACACUGGGACUGAGACACGGCCCAGACUCCUACGGGAGGCAGCAGUGGGGAAUAUUGGACAAUGGGCGAAAGCCUGAUCCAGCAAUGCCGCGUGAGUGAUGAAGGCCUUAGGGUUGUAAAGCUCUUUUACCCGGGAUGAUAAUGACAGUACCGGGAGAAUAAGCUCCGGCUAACUCCGUG